UACAGAGGGUGCAAGCGUUGUUCGGAAUUAUUGGGCGUAAAGGGCGCGUAGGCGGUUCGGCAAGUCUCUAGUGAAAUCUCUGGGCUCAACUCAGAGUCUGCUGGGGAAACUGCCGGGCUUGAGUGUGGGAGAGGAGAGUGGAAUUCCCGGUGUAGCGGUGAAAUGCGUAGAUAGUCGGGAGGAACACCUGUGGCGAAAGCGGACUCUCUGGACCACAAC
rnacentral:rRNA from 1 species